CCUAUGAAUAGUUUAAAUGGCCGCAGUACUUUGACUGUGCAAAGGUAGCAUAAUCACUUGUCUUUUAAUUGGAGGCUGGAAUGAAGGAGGCGACGAAACUUAGACUAUUUAGCUUUAAGGUAAAAUUUACAUAAAGGUCAAAAGGCCUUUAUAAACCAAAGGGACGAUAAGACCCUAUAAAACUUUACUAUAUAACGGGUUAUUUAGGUAAGAUUUAAACUAUAGUUUAACUGGGGCGGUUUAUAUAAAAACAAUUGAAAUAUUAAUAUAUCAAAUAGAUCUAGAGAGCUUAAUAGGAAAUGAACAAGUUACUUUAGGGAUAACAGCAUAAUUCUCCCAGAGAGUCCUAAUUGGCGGGAGAGCUUAUGACCUCGAUGUUGAAUUGGGAUGUCUAGUGUAAGUAGAAAUAUAUUAAGAUAGUCUGUUCGACUAUUAAAUUCCC
rnacentral:rRNA from 1 species